UACGAAGGGGGCUAGCGUUGUUCGGAAUUACUGGGCGUAAAGCGCACGCAGGCGGAUUGAUAAGUCAGGGGUGAAAUCCCGGGGCUCAACCUCGGAAUUGCCUUUGAUACUGUCUAUCUUCGAGUUCGGGAGAGGUUGGCGGAAUUCCUAGUGUAGAGGUGAAAUUCGUAGAUAUUAGGAAGAACACCAGUGGCGAAGGCGGCUCACUGGUCCAUUACUGACGCUGAGGUGCGAAAGCGUGGGGAGCAAACAGG
rnacentral:rRNA from 1 species